rnacentral:ncRNA from 1 species
UGGACGCGUCGCAACUGGCGUUCGGAUGGGUCACCAUCGGGGAGCGACUGAUCACGGUUAGUGGCCGCACGCCUGGGCCACGACG